ensembl:lncRNA
UCGAAGCUCUCUGGGCAACAGGACACAAAUCAAAGAGAAAGAAUGAGGCGACGUGAUGACAAAAGCCGCAGCUGCCCUUUCUUCUCCUGAAGCAGGGUGAAAAGUGACAUAAUGGCAUUCUGGCUCAGGUAGUCGUUAUCAACAUCGCUUCUGAUUUGUGCUGAGCAACACUUCACGUUGCCUCUCCUCAUCCCUCACCCUGUAACGAGCUGUCAGCCAGCCUCUCCACCGGAUUGGGAAACACCGGCUCCACACCUCUGGAGCUGCAUUGUCAUGAGAAAAACUGUUGCUUCUGAUUAGGAAUAUCUUCCAUGGCUAACUAAUUGUUUUUGUUGGCCAUCUUACUGUGGACGUGUUGGUUUAAAAAACACAAGGAAAAAUGAAUAUAACACAUGAAAAGAAAUACUGAUGAAUUUGUUUUGUUUUUGUUUUUCUUUCUCUACAGAAAUAUAUUUUCAUUUAUUUUGAUUAUUUCUGUAUCAAAGUUGUAUUAUCUUUUCUCACCUGAAAGACGUAGAGUGCCUCUGAAAUGUCAAAGACUGAGUCCUUGUGACGAUUAAAACACUUCAAUGUGACAGAAUCCUCUCGUCAAAUAUCAGCAGGCACCUUCAUUCUGUUUUAGUGGUAUUUACAAAAGCUGUUAUAUUUCGGUAUCCAACUCAGACAUUUUGAGCGAUAUUUUGUUUUUUUAUCUUUUAUAAUGUAUUUGUAUCCCUUUAAUUUACAAUAAUAUUUUGCUGUCUGCAUGUUUCUUCAACGAUUAUUUAAAAAUAGUGAUAUACAAAAGCCUUGCCUCUAUUUGUGUGAGUGCUAUAUAUAAUGACAUGAGUUUAUAGGGGGAUUGUGGUCAACAAAUCUGUCCACUUGUAUUGAUUUUCAUUACGCAAGUUGUUUUUCAUUGAAUCGUGGAUACUCUACAUAGAAUACGAUCUGAAUCAAGGGCCAAAGUAUAGUGAAAGAACAAAACCGAGUAAGGUAACAAGCUGAAGUCUCAAGUCUGUGCAGCUUUACAAUGCACCUCCCAC